ensembl:miRNA
AGUUUAUUAGGUUGGUGCAAAAGUAAUUGUGGAUUUUGCCAUUACUUUUAAUUGCAAAAACCAUAAUUACUUUUGCACCAACCUAAUAAA